UACGUAGGGGGCGAGGCGUUGUCCGGAUUUAUUGGGCGUAAAGAGCUCGUAGGCGGUUCGGUAAGCUGUCGUGAAAUCCUGAGGCUCAACCUCGGGCGGUCGCGAUGGAUACUGCCGGGCUAGAGGGUGGUAGAGGCGAGUGGAAUUCCCGGUGUAGUGGUGAAAUGCGCAGAUAUCAGGAGGAACACCGAUGGCGAAGGCAGGUCUCUGGGCCGAUACUGACGUGAGGAGCGAAAGCGUGGGGAGCGAACAGG
rnacentral:rRNA from 1 species